AGCGAACGCUGGCGGCAGGCCUAACACAUGCAAGUCGAACGAACUCUUCGGAGUUAGUGGCGGACGGGUGAGUAACACGUGGGAACGUGCCUUUAGGUUCGGAAUAACUCAGGGAAACUUGUGCUAAUACCGAAUGUGCCCUUCGGGGGAAAGAUUUAUCGCCUUUAGAGCGGCCCGCGUCUGAUUAGCUAGUUGGUGAGGUAAAGGCUCACCAAGGCGACGAUCAGUAGCUGGUCUGAGAGGAUGAUCAGCCACAUUGGGACUGAGACACGGCCCAAACUCCUACGGGAGGCAGCAGUGGGGAAUCUUGCGCAAUGGGCGAAAGCCUGACGCAGCCAUGUCGCGUGAAUGAUGAAGCUCUUAGGAUUGUAAAAUUCUUUCACCGGGGACGAUAAUGACGGUACCCGGAGAAGAAGCCCCGGCUAACUUCGUG
rnacentral:rRNA from 1 species